AGCAGCCGCGGUAAUUCCAGCUCCAAUAGCGUAUACUAAAGUUGUUGUUGUUAAAAAGCUCGUAGUUGGAUCUCAGUUCGAGUCAAGCGGUCCACUUGCCAGUGGUUACUGCUUGACUGAACACUUUACCGAGUUGUCCUAUGGUGUUCUUCACCGAACGUUAUAGGCGAUCGGUACGUUUACUUUGAAAAAAU
rnacentral:rRNA from 1 species